rnacentral:rRNA from 1 species
CCUGGUGGCAAUAGUGCUGUGGAAACACCCGAUCCCAUCCCGAACUCGGCCGUGAAAACCAGUCGCGCCAAUGGUACUUCAUCCUAAGAUGCGGGAGAGUAGGUCACUGCCAGGU